UACGUAGGGUGCAAGCGUUGUCCGGAAUUAUUGGGCGUAAAGAGCUCGUAGGCGGUUUGUCGCGUCUGCUGUGAAAACUCGGGGCUUAACUCCGGGCCUGCAGUCGAUACGGGCAGACUGGAGUUCGGCAGGGGAGACUGGAAUUUACGGUGUAGCAGUGAAAUGCGUAGAGAUCGUAAGGAAGACCAGUGGCGAAGGCGGGUCUCUGGGCUGUAACUGACGCUGAGGAGCGAAAGCAUGGGGAGCGAACAGG
rnacentral:rRNA from 1 species